rnacentral:rRNA from 1 species
ACGCUCGACACCUACGGGGAAGCAGCAGGUGGGGAAUAUUGCACAAUGGGGGAAACCCGUGAUGCAGCGACGCCGCGUGGAGGAAGAAGGUCUUCGGAUUGUAAACCUCCUGUUGUUGGGGAAAAAGAGGAUGGUACCCAACAAGGAAGUGACGGCUAACUACGUACCAGCAGCCGCGGUAAUCUGAGCGGGCUGGCAAGGC